UCAUCCGAGCCUCCAAAAAACCAAAUUUACAAAUUGAUAGUGCAUUGCAUAUAAUUUGAUAUCCACAACAGAUUCUGACAACUGAACUUAAUAAACAAAAUCAGUACAUUGGAUAGUAAAUUUGACACUUUUACUCUCAAUUAAUUUAGUAGCAUAACAUAUGUUACAACUACAGUAUUGACUUAUUCAGCUUUAAAAC
rnacentral:lncRNA from 1 species